UGCAGGGUAUAGACCCGAAACCCGGUGAUCUAGCCAUGGGCAGGUUGAAGGUUGGGUAACACUAACUGGAGGACCGAACCGACUAAUGUUGAAAAAUUAGCGGAUGACUUGUGGCUGGGGGUGAAAGGCCAAUCAAACCGGGAGAUAGCUGGUUCUCCCCGAAAGCUAUUUAGGUAGCGCCUCGUGAAUUCAUCUCCGGGGGUAGAGCACUGUUUCGGCAAGGGGGUCAUCCCGACUUACCAACCCGAUGCAAACUGCGAAUACCGGAGAAUGUUAUCACGGGAGACACACGGCGGGUGCUAACGUCCGUCGUGAAGAGGGAAACAACCCAGACCGCCAGCUAAGGUCCCAAAGUCAUGGUUAAGUGGGAAACGAUGUGGGAAGGCCCAGACAGCCAGGAUGUUGGCUUAGAAGCAGCCAUCAUUUAAAGAAAGCGUAAUAGCUCACUGGUCGAGUCGGCCUGCGCGGAAGAUGUAACGGGGCUAAACCAUG
rnacentral:rRNA from 1 species